AACUUAUAAAAUUUAAAUUUGAUUUGAAAUCAAAAAAAUUGUCUUUAAUGACAAUAUAAGUUU
rnacentral:tRNA from 1 species